AAAGAUGGUAACCUGAAGCAAUGGUGGACGGACGACGUGAUACAGAAGUUUAAGACCCAGGCGCAGUGUCUGAUUGACCAGUACGGUGACUUCUCUGUACCGGAAGCUGAUGGUAUGAAGAUGAAUGGUAUAAAUACUCUGGGAGAGAACAUUGCCGACAAUGGGGGACUAAAGGAGAGUUUCAGGGCGUACAGAAGAUGGGUGGAGACACGUGGGAGUGAAGAGGAACAGCUACCUGGCGUUAAAUACACACACAAUCAAAUAUUUUUCAUUAAUUUUGCUCAGGUUUGGUGCGGAAAUAUGAGGAAGGAGGCUGCCAUAAACCGGAUUCUGACAGGUGUUCACAGUCCCGGAAGAUUCAGGGUUAUUGGUACAUUGCAAAAUUCGGCUGAUUUCUCCAGAGCUUUUAACUGCAAUGCUAGCAGCUUUAUGAACCCACAAAAGAAGUGCUCUGUUUGGUAAACGAUGCUAGGUUCGACAGGAAAAGAAUCCUACAUAUGUAGAGAAACAACAUUGAGAAGAUGCACAUUCUUUUAUUACUGCAUGUCAUGCAAUUAUUUGUGUUUAGAAGAAAAUAUGAAUUUUGAUUCAAACUCGAGGAUUUCAAGAUUUUUACUAAGUGUACUUGUAUAAAUUAUUUUGCUAAUUUGAUAUAAUUUUCCCUCAUUUAAUACAUGCAAGCUAUGACUAGGAUUUUAAUUUUACAUGUGUUUUUUUUAAAAAAUUUUAUCAACUCAUUCAUUUUAAAAAAAAAAAUUCAAUGCAUUCAGAAACAAAUACAGAUUUGUGGAAAAUAGCUGAAGAUAUUAAGGCAAAAUUUUGCAAUUGUGUUGCUAAAUGCAUAAAUAUGAUAUAUAAAUCACAUAUUUAACUAGAAUAAAAAGAUCGAAUAAGUUAAAGAAGCGGGUUGAAUGGAUGUACGUGAAUAUAUAUGCAUACAUUGUAUACCAAAGUGUGUUUAAAAUAUUUCAUUCACGCGUUGAUUAUCAAAACUGUGUCAACGCCAAUGGUGAUGUCAGAUCAUUGCGAUUUGUUUAUAUAAUUAAGCUAAUGGUCGAAUUCUAAUAAAAAUAUUUAUUUAGGGGU
rnacentral:misc_RNA from 1 species